rnacentral:rRNA from 1 species
AUGGAUGGCCCAACCAUCUUCCAUCUUGACUUUGUGCAAAUCCUCGAGGAGGUAGCCGAUUAUUUUCACCUAGAGCCACGAGUGAUCUCUACUAGCAGUAGCGGCGGCAGAAAUAACCCAAGACCCAGGCAGCCUUUGGGACACUGUAGCACUGUAGCUACAGUCUACAAAGGAAAUGCAACUCACGCCCAGGCAGCAGCCCGGGCUGCCUGGGGCCUGUCUUCGCCACUGUCUCCUAGUGCUCUUCGGAUGGCUAUGGCGAGGAUGACCCCGGUGCACAUGCAAGUCACUCCACAUGACCCCGGUGCAUACACUACCUUCUAUGGCUAUGGCGAGGAUGAUCAUGAAGCUGGGUUCUCGGUGGCUCAUGAAGCGCUUAAAUCGCUCUACUUUAGUCUGAACUUUGGCCUAGUGGACUUGCACACCUAUGAGUACUGGGAGAAUUUGCUGGACUUGGCACGUUCUGAGUAG